rnacentral:rRNA from 1 species
UCGAGAAUUUUUCUCAAUGGGGGAAACCCUGAAGGAGCGACGCCGCGUGGGGGAUGAAGGGCUUCGGCCCGUAAACCCCUGUCAUUUGCGAACAAACGUCAUGGUUGAACAUUCCAUGGCUUGAUUGUAGCGAAAGAGGAAGGGACGGCUAACUCUGUGCCAGCAGCCGCGGUAAUACAGAGGUCCCAAGCGUUGUUCGGAUUCACUGGGCGUAAAGGGUGCGCAGGUGGGUUGGCAAGUUUGAUGUGAAAGCCCCGGGCUUAACCCGGGAAUGGCAUUGAAUACUGCUGAUCUGGAGGAUUGGAGGGGGGACUGGAAUUCUUGGUGUAGCAGUGAAAUGCGUAGAUAUCAAGAGGAACACCAGUGGCGAAGGCGAGUCCCUGGACAAUUCCUGACACUGAGGCACGAAAGCUAGGGGAGCAAACAGG